UGCACAUCCUGUUGAAGAUUUACCCCCGGGGUUAACACUUUACAAAGACUCUCUCCUCCCCCUUGCAGCCUUUGCUGCUGUCAUUUCACGGGGAGAAAACUGGAAGUCCCUGCACAAAAGGAAGGAGCGCUCACACAGGGAGUGGAAAUUUGCACUGGGUGAGUGUACCAUGCCCCAGGAGCUCUCCCUCUGGAAUGCAGUGCCUGCUGGAGGAGUUAUUUGUCCCCCUGACACCAGCCAUAAAUUUGGCGGCUGGGAGGAGCCAUUAUACAAGCGUGACCCCUGGUAGAACACAGCCUGUGAUUUGCACAUCUAGCCCAAAUUCCCUCUGGAGAUCCAAUAAAUUUGGGGGGAAAGCAGCCAGUCCUGACCUAAGGGCUGCGGGAAGCAGUUUUGGUGGUUAAUGAUCCUCACAACGUGAGCGCACACAUGCUCCCCAUCUGAACCUGCCCACUUUGACACCUCACUGAACUGCUUCUGCCCAGGGCUUGUUUCCCUGAGGUGGCUCUCACCCCCUAUCACCUCCUUGCCACCCCCAGCCCAGGGGAGCAAAUUGAAUUUCUCCUGUGUUACCUGUCAGCUCGUUGCUGGGAGGCACACAGACCAAGCAUGGAAGGGAAGAGGAGCAGGCAGCCCACCUGGCCACCUCUGUGCCAGCACUCACGAUCCAACAGCUAGUCUCCCUUAUGCCAUCACUUGGAAUCACAGAAUCACAGAAUGGUUUGGGUUGGAAGGGACCUCAAAGUCCACCCCCCCCAACCCCUGCUGUGGGCAGGGCUGCCCCCCACCAGCUCAGGCUGCCCAGGGCCCCAUCCAACCUGGCCUUGAGCGCCUCCAGGGAUGGGGCAUCACAGCUUCUCUGGGCAGCUGUGCCAUCACCUCACCACCCUCUGGGAAAAGAAUCCCACAUCUCCUCACAUCUAACCUAAAUCUCCCUUAUUUUACUUUAAAGCCGUUCCCUCUGAUUGUCUGAUCACUAUCUGUCCUCUUGUUCAUCAGCUCCCCUCAAGUACUGGAGGGCUGCAAUGAUGUCUUCCAGAGCUCUCUCUUCUCCAGGCUGAACAAGCCCAGAGGCCUCAAUCUUUCUCCACAGGAAUGGUGCUCCAGCCCUCCGAUAGUCUUUGUGGCCUCCUCUGGACCCUCUCCACCAGCUCUGCAUCCUCCUUGUGCUGGAGGCCCCAGGCCUGGAUGCAGUACUCAAGACUACAUCUUGGGGAUCUGGCAGCUUCCCAAGGGAGGGUCAGGGUCUGGUGCAGGACAGGAGGAGGGGGAGGGGAGGAAGACUCUGCCUUGCACUGGGGAGAGCGGGAGGCAGAUCUACCACAGGAUCGAAUGCUGUGUGAGCUUGGAUGCUCAGGCCCUGAUCUUUCAUUAACGUGCACACCAGGGUCAGUACUAGACAGAAGGUCUGAGAAGGUCUCCUCAUUCCUCACUCUGUACUCCUGCCUGCCCUGCACCCUCAGAGCAAGCGCCAAGGUAGGAGAGGGCAAGCAGCAGUGAGGUAGGUACUUAACCAGUCUCACUCCCAUGGGGAAGACAGGCUUGGGAGAGCUGGAGGUCUGCUCUGCUGAGCUCCUCAAUGCCGUGUGGGGUUGGUGGCUUUGUCAGCUUGGCAGUGGGGGUGUGAUGAGGGGCAGAUUUCUACACUUUUGCAGACAAAGAGAAGUACAACCUUUGGUGCCGCUGGAAAGUCACACUCAGUAGGGGCCUUAGCAUCCUGGAGCAUGAAGACCGAAGACAUUCUGCUAUUAACUCCAGAGAAAACUGUAGAGAGGGGAGUAAAAUGCAGCCCCGAGGCAAAAGGUGAUCUCCUGCAUGAGAUAGCAAUUACUCUCCAUUUACCCCUCUUUCUCUGACAGUCCUGUCACUGUUGGAAUAAAAAAACCUAAAUCACACCUUUAUAAAAGGACAGCUAAGGCUUUCUGAAAACCAUUCUUCAGCACAGAAAAAGUCAACUGCUAUUUUCAGUGCAAUCACUAAUCCCAGAAUUUCUCCUCUGCAGGUCCCCAGCAUACCCUCACAUUUGUCCCUAAGGCAAGGUUAGGCUGAUCAUCAGGGCACCCUCAGGAAGUGGGGUGUGGGAGGCAACUGAGGAAAGAGGGUUCAUUCUCAAACCACACUCUGACAGCAGAUGUACUAACAGAGUGUCUCACAAGAGACACCUCUACUACUUAGAUGGGUCCAUUGUCACCACUGUCAGGUUGCUCACCUCAACACAUGUUGGCCUCGCUCAGGGGAUGUGAAGAGUAAAGCUAGUCACUGCCCUUUUGGCUGUGACCAUCUGUUUUGUUCAAAAAGGGUGUGAUUGGAACUUUGAUGCCAAUUGGAGUUGACUCCAAAUGAGCACCGUAUGAAUUCUAUUUGUGCUGGGGGCAGAGCAUUGAGGAAGGUAGCAUUCAGGUGGUUUCUUGAAAUUGCUUGAUUUGUCACCUACUUGUAUGACCAAUGAACUAGAAGAAAAG
ensembl:lncRNA